UGAUAGAUAAUAGAUGAUUGAUAGAUAGAUAGAUGAUAGACAGUAGAUAAUAGACGAUAGAUAGAUAGAUAACAGUCACAGCCAGCAGUAGGUGCACUGUCUUACCCAUUGAAGGGCCGUUAGAUUGCAGUCCUUGCUUCUCCUAUUGAGCUCCAUCUAGCUGGUUUUCUGCAGAGGAGCCAAGAAUUACUUUUCUAAAAAGGAGUUCUCAUUAAUCGCCUCCUCAAAGCCGCAUUCACACGUUGACAUCCUGCCAGACUAGCUUUCCGAGAGCUCAGCAUGGCCCGGGUUAGAGUAACAACCAGCGCUGUGUUAGCGUACUGAACUGGGGUCCCUUUCUCAAUGCACCUCACGCGACGCUGGCCUGACUGCCGCCCCGGUCUCGCUUGGGCCCGUCCCGAGGGAGCUUCCUUUGGGAUCACUGAGAGCAUGACAGCAGAGAAAGAGUGGCAAACACGACCGUCGCUCAGAUCUUCUCCUAAGAGGCGCAUCACUUCCGCUAACCCUCGUUAGCCGGAGCGCCUGACUCCGUGCUUUCUCGGCCGGGGUCCGAAUACUUGGCACCCACAGCCUGGAGAAGGAGGGACUUACUUGGUCUCAGGGCUUCUGUCCAUCGUCAGCUGGCUGCAAGGCGCAAAUAGCGUGUGCGAGGGUCUGGGCAGGAGUGUGGGGAGUACCCUCUCUCAGUGAAAUGGACCAGGCUCAGAUUUGAGGAAGUUUCCUGGAACCUGAAGUAUAGUGUGAUGGAUGAGUCCAGGUCUUUUCUAUUAGCAAGUAUGGAAAAUUGCAUUUAUUUGCUUGAAAAUAGACCUGCAUGUAGUUUCAUGUUUGGGACAUAGAGAAGAAGUUGAGUGGCUUUAUUUUUAUGCCUCUCUUUUAGUUCCUUUUUUAAGGUGUGCUUUCUCUCUCGCUCUCUCUCUCUCUCUUUCUCUCUCUCUCUCCUCUCUCUUGUUCCUGCCCCUUCCCUCCCUAUCUCUCUACUUUCUACUGUGUAAAUGAAUGACAGAGAAGUUCUCCUUCCACUGAAUUUUUCUCUUGUAGUUGUAAAAGAGAAGAUUGCAGAGAUACCUCUCCACUCUGCUUCAGCAAGGAUAUCCUAAAUAUAAAAGAACUUGCUGGAAACAUAGCCACAUUCACUGCCAAGAGACAAAAUGACAUUUUCAUAUCAAGGAUUUCAUCCACAUGAACUUCUUCAAAACGAACAGGCUAUAUGGAAUAGUAUACAUCUAACAAUUGAAGCCUUUUUGUCUGUGUUGGAAUAAUUUUUCUCUUUCUAGAGUUAAAAGAUUUUAAUUUUCAAAAUUUUAUUUUACAUGCAAAGCUAUAAAUUUUUCUUUGUGGAGUUAGUAUAAUCCUAAACAGACAUAACAGAGCUUUGUUCCUCUUUGUGAGAAUGAUCUUGCAUAUUUUAUGUAUGCUUUAAUGUCACAGAGUGACAUUCUAUUCAUCUUGGUGACAAAAUCUCCUAUUUAGCCAAUGCUUAUCUAAAGAAAACAAUGUGAAACUGUGAGGGAAUUACGGACAAGCACAAUUCCAAGGAGACCCCAAAAUGAACUUUUAUGUACAACUAAAGCAGAGCACGUCAUGUACUGCCUUAUUUUCUUUCAGACCCUUCUGGUCCACCGUGUGAGCAUCGCUCAUGUCCCAUCCAGGCCCUCCACAUCUUCCAGGAGGUUGUCACCCUCAUCAGCAUGCCUGAGGUCCCUCCAGGGGAAGCGUCACUGUGAAGCAGCUGUCUCAUUUUUAAGUCACAAAUUAAAUAGAAAGAAUGUGGAUUUUGUAGGCUUCUUGUAAUAUUGGAUUAAGGGUACCAAAACCAUUUCUGGAAAGAUUUUUGUUUCUAGAAACCAAACUAUCAGACAACCCUGAUACAAGUUUUCUUUGUUGUUUUCCUCAUCUCUAAAAGAAAUAAAGUGAAUCUUUCUCAUUUCUAGAUGUCCUACUGAAGGCAAGACCUUGUGCUUUUUCAGAAGGAAAAUAAAGCUACUUGAACGGCUUCAAUAUAGAAUACGUUAAAA